CUCUGUCUGCUGUUGGUUUGCCAAAUGCUUGUCACACAGCCUUCAUGGUGGGCGGAGCACGGAUGCACCACAGUGCUGUUGGGAAUCAGUGCAGACACUUGUCUGGCAAGGCCCCCAGAGCUGCGUCGGGGCCAACUCGCGCGCCCUCUCCCUCGGCUUGCGUCGGGAGACUUGGAGCCCGCUUACAACUGCUUGCAGUUCUAGUUUGCUCUUGAAUUCCAUAAGCCAGUGGGAAAGAGAUGGAAUGAAAUCCUCGGAAUUCUGUGAGCAUUCAAUGGACAGGUUCAGGAGCCACUCUGACAUCUUUUGAACAGACUCACCUUGCUAUCUUCAGGGAGUAUCCCACCAUAGAGUCCCCAAAGGAAAGUGUGUUCCCCAUGACUCCUGAUGUUGAUGGCAAUUUGUGGUCCAGCGCCACAGCUGGCGUCCCUUCCAACGUCCUGUCUGAAGCUGCCCAUGCAUGCAAAGACCUAGGUGUAUCCUAUGUGGCCUGUGUAGUAAUAAUUGCUGGUUUUGAUUUGGAGUCACUGGGUCACAUUUCAAGGAAGCUAUUGCAAAAUUUGCAUUUUUUAAAUUAAAAUAUAUAUGUAAAAUAAAUGAAUUAUACAUUAGAAAUCCAAAACUCCACCGCCUACCCGCACCUUGACCACAUCAUCCCCGUACUCCAGAAUCUCCGCUGACACCCUGUUCCCCAAAGCAUUGAGUAGGCCUACCUCACAGACAUGCUCCACCAUCACCACCCCUCAACCAUACACACCGGUGAAUGUAGCGACCCGGACACAUUCAAAAUCUACCUCUUUAGGUUAGCCUUGUUUGCUAUGUAGAAGGGUGUUACAAAGCUCAAUUUCAUUACAUAACCUGUUAUAUUCUGACAAUAAAUGUAUAUUUGUAUAUUUUAAUGUAGCCUACUAAAUAAAAGCCUAUUGGUCAUUG